AUACGUAGGGGGCGAGCGUUGUCCGGAAUGAUUGGGCGUAAAGGGCGCGUAGGCGGCGCGGUAAGUCUGGAGUGAAAGUCCUGCUUUCAAGGUGGGAAUUGCUUUGGAUACUGCCGCGCUUGAGUGCAGGAGAGGUUAUCGGAAUUCCCGGUGUAGCGGUGAAAUGCGUAGAGAUCGGGAGGAACACCAGUGGCGAAGGCGGGUAACUGGACUGCAACUGACGCUGAGGCGCGAAAGUGUGGGGAGCAAACAGGAUUAGAUACCCUGGUAGUCCACACUGUAAACGAUGAAUGCUAGGUGUAAGAGGUAUCGACCCCUUUUGUGCCGGAGUCAACACAAUAAGCAUUCCGCCUGGGGAGUACGGCCGCAAGGUUGAAACUCAAAGGAAUUGACGGG
rnacentral:rRNA from 1 species